CCUACGGGAGGCAGCAGUGGGGAAUUUUGGACAAUGGGCGCAAGCCUGAUCCAGCCAUGCCGCGUGCGGGAAGAAGGCCUUCGGGUUGUAAACCGCUUUUGUCAGGGAAGAAAUCCUUUGAGUUAAUACCUCGGGGGGAUGACGGUACCUGAAGAAUAAGCACCGGCUAACUACGUGCCAGCAGCCGCGGUAAUACGUAGGGUGCGAGCGUUAAUCGGAAUUACUGGGCGUAAAGCGUGCGCAGGCGGUCUUGCAAGACAGGUGUGAAAUCCCCGGGCUUAACCUGGGAACUGCACUUGUGACUGCAAGGCUGGAGUACGGCAGAGGGGGAUGGAAUUCCGCGUGUAGCAGUGAAAUGCGUAGAUAUGCGGAGGAACACCGAUGGCGAAGGCAAUCCCCUGGGCCUGUACUGACGCUCAUGCACGAAAGCGUGGGGAGCAAACAGGAUUAGAUACCCUGGUAGUCCACGCCCUAAACGAUGUCAACUGGUUGUUGGACGGCUUGCUGUUCAGUAACGAAGCUAACGCGUGAAGUUGACCGCCUGGGGAGUACGGCCGCAAGGUUGAAACUCAAAUGAAAUUGACCGGNNGAGAGAGCGAGACGACGACGAGGGAGGAGG
rnacentral:rRNA from 1 species